rnacentral:rRNA from 1 species
CCUACGGGUGACAGCAGUGAGGAAUAUUGGUCAAUGGGCGGAAGCCUGAACCAGCCAUGUAGCGUGAAGGAUGACGGCCCUACGGGUUGUAAACUUCUUUUAUAAAGGAAUAAAGUUAGGCACGUGUACCUUUUUGUAUGUACUUUAUGAAUAAGGAUCGGCUAACUCCGUGCCAGCAGCCGCGGUAAUACGGAGGAUCCGAGCGUUAUCCGGAUUUAUUGGGUUUAAAGGGAGCGUAGAUGGGUUGUUAAGUCAGUUGUGAAAGUUUGGGGCUAAACCGUAAAAUUGCAAUUGAUACUGGCAGCCUAGAGUACAGAUGAGGUAGGCGGAAUUCGUGGUGUAGCGGUGAAAUGCUUAGAUAUCACGAAGAACACCGAUUGCGAAGGCAGCCUACUAAACUGCCACUGACAUUGAUGCUCGAAAGUGUGGGUAGCAAACAGGAUUAGAUACCCCAGUAGUC